rnacentral:rRNA from 1 species
GAUGAACGCUGGCGGCGUGCCUAAUACAUGCAAGUCGAGCGAACGGACGAGAAGCUUGCUUCUCUGAUGUUAGCGGCGGACGGGUGAGUAACACGUGGAUAACCUACCUAUAAGACUGGGAUAACUUCGGGAAACCGGAGCUAAUACCGGAUAAUAUUUUGAACCGCAUGGUUCAAAAGUGAAAGACGGUCUUGCUGUCACUUAUAGAUGGAUCCGCGCUGCAUUAGCUAGUUGGUAAGGUAACGGCUUACCAAGGCAACGAUGCAUAGCCGACCUGAGAGGAUGAUCGGCCACACUGGAACUGAGCCACGGUCCAGACUCCUACGGGAGGCAGCAGUAGGGAAUCUUCCGCAAUGGGCGAAAGCCUGACGGAGCAACGCCGCGUGAGUGAUGAAGGUCUUCGGAUCGUAAAACUCUGUUAUUAGGGAAGAACAUAUGUGUAAGUAACUGUGCACAUCUUGACGGUACCUAAUCAGAAAGCCACGGCUAACUACGUG